rnacentral:tRNA from 1 species
GCCUGGGUAGCUCAGUCAGUGAAGCAUCUGCCUUUGACUCAGAUCAUGAUCCCAGGAUGGUGGGAUCAAGUCCCACAUCAGGCC